rnacentral:rRNA from 1 species
UGAGACAACUAUAGGAGGUCCAGCCUGCCCAGUGACAAAGUUAAACGGCCGCGGUACCCUAACCGUGCGAAGGUAGCGCAAUCACUUGUUCUUUAAAUGAGGACUAGUAUGAAUGGCAUCACGAGGGUUAUACUGUCUCCCCCUUUUAAUCAAUGAAACUGAUCUCCCCGUGAAGAAGCGGGGAUAAGCCUAUAAGACGAGAAGACCCCAUGGAGCUUAAAACUCAGUACCAACUGCCUCAUUAUAUAUCCAUUAAACCAAGCAGAUAUGGCUGCUAGUUUUCGGUUGGGGUGACCGCGGAGCAAAACAAAACCUCCACGAUGAAAGGAACUAACCUCCUAAUCAAAGAACCACACUUCUAAGAAUCAACAAAUUGACAUUAAUUGAUCCAAUUUUUUUGAUCAACGAACCAAGUUACCCUGGGGAUAACAGCGCAAUCCAUUUCAAGAGCCCCUAUCGACAAAUGGGUUUACGACCUCGAUGUUGGAUCAGGGUAUCCUAGUGGUGCAGCCGCUACUAAAGGUUCGUUUGUUCAACGAUUAAAACCCUACGUGAUCUGAGUUCAGACAGGAGA